rnacentral:rRNA from 1 species
GAUGAACGCUGGCGGCAUGCCUAAUACAUGCAAGUCGAGCGAACGGACGAGAAGCUUGUUUCUCUGAUGUUAGCGGCGGACGGGUGAGUAACACGUGGAUAACCUACCUAUAAGACUGGGAUAACUUCGGGAAACCGGAGCUAAUACCGGAUAAUAUUUUGAACCGCAUGGUUCAAAAGUGAAAGACGGUCUUGCUGUCACUUAUAGAUGGAUCCGCGCUGCAUUAGCUAGUUGGUAAGGUAACGGCUUACCAAGGCGACGAGGCAUAGCCGAACUGAGAGACGGAUAGGCCACCUUGGAGCGUGGACACCGUCCAGACUACUACGGGAGGCAGCAGUAGGGAAUCUUACGCAAUGGGCGGAAGCCUGACGGAGCAACGCCGCGUGAGUGAUGAAGGUCUUCGGAUCGUAAAACUCUGUUAUUAGGGAAGAACAUAUGUGUAAGUAACUGUGCACAUCUUGACGGUACCUAAUCAGAAAGCCACGGCUAACUACGUG